rnacentral:lncRNA from 1 species
CUGGCAGAUGCGGAAUAAAGCUAUCUUAUUACAUUUAUUCGCCUUCAGGAUGUGCUUUUCUCUUGCUUUCCCCUUAAAGGCGAGCCGAUUUUCAAGUCAACACGAUCGUUCUCGUCAACGCCCACCGGCAUCUCGCGUCUGUUUUGAAGCAAUGAACAUUUCGAAGGGAGCCCACUCUUAGAUUCAUCUCUCGGCUCCUGAAUCGGUCCAGAGGAACUUCUUGACUACCUUGUAUAUGGCCCCCCUGAGCGGCCGUAUAUGAGAUAGAAUUUAGGAUUUAGAAACCUUCUGACGCUCAGCGUCCAAUAUGACCAAGAAACGCCAAGCUCAUAGGGCCAUCUCGUGGGUCAUAUGAAUGCAUUUCCCCGGAUGGACCUUCCUCAUGGAAGCGUUGUCUGCAAAAUAAGCGUCAUUUGAAGGAGUCCAGUGGCGUGUUUUAAUGCCUCAAGGUGGUGGCAAUGAGACAACCAUAUCCCAGUUGGAUCUUUCUAUCAGUAACCACGGACAGAUCAACGUGGCGGUCACCAUCCUACCUCAUUUCUCUCAGUCCAUUCGCUUUCCCGUCUACGUUUCCUCCAAAGUUCAUUACUUCCCAAAUGUCAAG